rnacentral:rRNA from 1 species
AUUGAACGCUGGCGGCAGGCCUAACACAUGCAAGUCGAACGAGUGGCGGACGGGUGAGUAAUGUCUCGGAACCUGCCUGAUGGAGGGGGAUAACUACUGGAAACGGUAGCUAAUACCGCAUACCAUCAGAUGUGCCCAUAUGGGAUUAGCUAGUUGGUGGGGUAAAGGCUCACCAAGGCGACGAUCCCUAGCUGGUCUGAGAGGAUGACCAGCCACACUGGGACUGAGACACGGUCCAGACUCCUACGGGAGGCAGCAGUGGGGAAUUUUGCACAAUGGGCGCAACCCUGAUGCAGCCAUGCCGCGUGUAUGAAGAAGGCCUUCGGGUUGUAAAGUACUUUUGGCGGGGAGGCGGUACCCGCAGAAGAAGCACCGGCUAACUACGUGCCAGCAGCCGCGGUAAUUC